UACGUAGGGUGCUAGCGUUGUCCGGAUUUAUUGGGCGUAAAGAGCGUGUAGGCGGCCAUGUAGGUCCGGUGUGAAAACUCGAGGCUUAACCUCGAGAUGUCAUCGGAAACCAUUUGGCUAGAGUCCGGAAGAGGAGAGUGGAAUUCCUGGUGUAGCGGUGAAAUGCGCAGAUAUCAGGAAGAACACCAAUGGCGAAAGCAGCUCUCUGGGACGGUACUGACGCUGAGACGCGAAAGCGUGGGGAGCGAACAGG
rnacentral:rRNA from 1 species